GGGUUGUGAGGUUAAGCGACUAAGCGUACACGGUGGAUGCCCUGGCAGUCAGAGGCGAUGAAGGGCGUGCUAAUCUGCGAUAAGCGCCGGUAAGGUGAUAUGAACCGUUAUAACCGGCGAUACCCGAAUGGGGAAACCCAGUGUGAUUCGUCACACUAUCAUUAACUGAAUCCAUAGGUUAAUGAGGCGAACCGGGGGAACUGAAACAUCUAAGUACCCCGAGGAAAAGAAAUCAACCGAGAUUCCCCCAGUAGCGGCGAGCGAACGGGGAGGAGCCCAGAGCCUGAAUCAGCAUGUGUGUUAGUGGAAGCGUCUGGAAAGGCGCGCGAUACAGGGUGACAGCCCCGUACACAAAAGCGCAUGUGCUGUGAGCUCGAUGAGUAGGGCGGGACACGUGGUAUCCUGUCUGAAUAUGGGGGGACCAUCCUCCAAGGCUAAAUACUCCUGACUGACCGAUAGUGAACCAGUACCGUGAGGGAAAGGCGAAAAGAACCCCGGCGAGGGGAGUGAAAAAGAACCUGAAACCGUGUACGUACAAGCAGUGGGAGCACCCUUUGGGUGUGACUGCGUACCUUUUGUAUAAUGGGUCAGCGACUUAUAUUCUGUAGCAAGGUUAACCGAAUAGGGGAGCCGGAGGGAAACCGAGUCUUAACCGGGCGUUAAGUUGCAGGGUAUAGACCCGAAACCCGGUGAUCUAGCCAUGGGCAGGUUGAAGGUUGGGUAACACUAACUGGAGGACCGAACCGACUAAUGUUGAAAAAUUAGCGGAUGACCUGUGGCUGGGGGUGAAAGGCCAAUCAAACCGGGAGAUAGCUGGUUCUCCCCGAAAGCUAUUUAGGUAGCGCCUCGUGAAUUCAUCUCCGGGGGUAGAGCACUGUUUCGGCUAGGGGGCCAUCCCGGCUUACCAACCCGAUGCAAACUGCGAAUACCGGAGAAUGUUAUCACGGGAGACACACGGCGGGUGCUAACGUCCGUCGUGAAGAGGGAAACAACCCAGACCGCCAGCUAAGGUCCCAAAGUCAUGGUUAAGUGGGAAACGAUGUGGGAAGGCCCAGACAGCCAGGAUGUUGGCUUAGAAGCAGCCAUCAUUUAAAGAAAGCGUAAUAGCUCACUGGUCGAGUCGGCCUGCGCGGAAGAUGUAACGGGGCUAAACCAUGCACUGAAGCUGCGGCAGCGACACUGUGUGUUGUUGGGUAGGGGAGCGUUCUGUAAGCCUGUGAAGGUGUGUCGUGAGGCAUGCUGGAGGUAUCAGAAGUGCGAAUGCUGACAUAAGUAACGAUAAAGCGGGUGAAAAGCCCGCUCGCCGGAAGACCAAGGGUUCCUGUCCAACGUUAAUCGGGGCAGGGUGAGUCGACCCCUAAGGCGAGGCCGAAAGGCGUAGUCGAUGGGAAACGGGUUAAUAUUCCCGUACUUGGUGUUACUGCGAAGGGGGGACGGAGAAGGCUAUGUUGGCCGGGCGACGGUUGUCCCGGUUUAAGCGUGUAGGUGUGUGUUCCAGGUAAAUCCGGUUCACUUUAACACUGAGGCGUGACGACGAGGCACUACGGUGCUGAAGCAACAAAUGCCCUGCUUCCAGGAAAAGCCUCUAAGCAUCAGGUAACAUCAAAUCGUACCCCAAACCGACACAGGUGGUCAGGUAGAGAAUACCAAGGCGCUUGAGAGAACUCGGGUGAAGGAACUAGGCAAAAUGGUGCCGUAACUUCGGGAGAAGGCACGCUGACACGUAGGUGAAGUGAUUUACUCAUGGAGCUGAAGUCAGUCGAAGAUACCAGCUGGCUGCAACUGUUUAUUAAAAACACAGCACUGUGCAAACACGAAAGUGGACGUAUACGGUGUGACGCCUGCCCGGUGCCGGAAGGUUAAUUGAUGGGGUCAGCGCAAGCGAAGCUCCUGAUCGAAGCCCCGGUAAACGGCGGCCGUAACUAUAACGGUCCUAAGGUAGCGAAAUUCCUUGUCGGGUAAGUUCCGACCUGCACGAAUGGCGUAAUGAUGGCCAGGCUGUCUCCACCCGAGACUCAGUGAAAUUGAACUCGCUGUGAAGAUGCAGUGUACCCGCGGCAAGACGGAAAGACCCCGUGAACCUUUACUAUAGCUUGACACUGAACAUUGAGCCUUGAUGUGUAGGAUAGGUGGGAGGCUUUGAAGUGUGGACGCCAGUCUGCAUGGAGCCGACCUUGAAAUACCACCCUUUAAUGUUUGAUGUUCUAACGUGGACCCGUUACCCGGGUUGCGGACAGUGUCUGGUGGGUAGUUUGACUGGGGCGGUCUCCUCCUAAAGAGUAACGGAGGAGCACGAAGGUUGGCUAAUCCUGGUCGGACAUCAGGAGGUUAGUGCAAUGGCAUAAGCCAGCUUGACUGCGAGCGUGACGGCGCGAGCAGGUGCGAAAGCAGGUCAUAGUGAUCCGGUGGUUCUGAAUGGAAGGGCCAUCGCUCAACGGAUAAAAGGUACUCCGGGGAUAACAGGCUGAUACCGCCCAAGAGUUCAUAUCGACGGCGGUGUUUGGCACCUCGAUGUCGGCUCAUCACAUCCUGGGGCUGAAGUAGGUCCCAAGGGUAUGGCUGUUCGCCAUUUAAAGUGGUACGCGAGCUGGGUUUAGAACGUCGUGAGACAGUUCGGUCCCUAUCUGCCGUGGGCGCUGGAGAACUGAGGGGGGCUGCUCCUAGUACGAGAGGACCGGAGUGGACGCAUCACUGGUGUUCGGGUUGUCAUGCCAAUGGCACUGCCCGGUAGCUAAAUGCGGAAGAGAUAAGUGCUGAAAGCAUCUAAGCACGAAACUUGCCCCGAGAUGAGUUCUCCCUGAGACUUUAGGUCUCCUGAAGGAACGUUGAAGACGACGACGUUGAUAGGCCGGGUGUGUAAGCGCAGCGAUGCGUUGAGCUAACCGGUACUAAUGAACCGUGAGGCUUAACCUUACAACGCCGAAG
rnacentral:rRNA from 1 species